GACGAACGCUGGCGGCAUGCCUAAUACAUGCAAGUCGAGCGAACAGAUGAAGUGCUUGCACUUCUGACGUUAGCGGCGAACGGGUGAGUAACACGUAAGGAAUCUACCUAUAAGCGGGGGAUAACAUUCGGAAACGGGUGCUAAUACCGCAUAAUAUCUUCUUCCGCAUGGAAGAAGAUUGAAAGACGGCUCUGCUGGCACUUCUAGAUGACCUUGCGGUGCAUUAGUGAGUUGGUGGGGUAACGGCCUACCAAGACGAUGAUGCAGAGCCGACCUGAGAGGGUGAUCGGCCACAUUGGGACUGAGACACGGCCCAAACUCCUACGGGAGGCAGCAGUAGGGAAUCUUCCGCAAUGGGCGAAAGCCUGACGGAGCAAUGCCGCGUGAGUGAAGAAGGCCUUCGGGUCGUAAAACUCUGUUAUAAGAGAAGAACAAAUUGUAGAGUAACUGCUACAGUCUUGACGGUAUCUUAUCAGAAAGCCACGGCUAACUACGUGCCAGCAGCCGCCGUAA
rnacentral:rRNA from 1 species